rnacentral:rRNA from 1 species
CAGCCGCCGCGGUAAUACGAAGGGGGCUAGCGUUGUUCGGAUUUACUGGGCGUAAAGGGCGCGUAGGCGGACUGAUAAGUCAGGGGUGAAAUCCCAAGGCUCAACCUUGGAACUGCCUUUGAUACAGUUUGUCUUGAGUUCGAGAGAGGUAAGUGGAACUGCGAGUGUAGAGGUGAAAUUCGUAGAUAUUCGCAAGAACACCAGUGGCGAAGGCGGCUUACUGGCUCGAAACUGACGCUGAGGCGCGAAAGCGUGGGGAGCAAACAGGAUUAGAUACCCCUGUAGUCCCUGUCUCUUAUAC